rnacentral:lncRNA from 1 species
GGAUGGUGGAGCUGACUUGGUAGUCUCUUUGAAUUACACCUUUGUUCUGGGCUCAGUGAAAAAAUUCCCUUAUAGGUUCCCUAUAGGAUGUUUGAGAAGAUAUACUGUGAACCAUAAGAAUUCUGGAUGCUAUAGAACGGUUUGUAUGGGUGUAUGUUUAAAGAAGUAUUUGCUUAACUUUCACAAGAGCUCUGUAUGUAUAUAAUGGAUGUAACCUAUUAGGCUUUUGUACAUGUAGCUAAUAACACACAGCUGAAUGAAUAGAUUAGAUGUAGUGAAUAGCUUCUGUGCUGCAGUAUUAGAACAUGCAAUCUCUUGUGCUGAGGAACAACAUGAAGAGUGAGGCUGUGUUUAGAAAACAAUUUGCCUUGGAGAUCUGGUAAAUAGAUUCAUAUUUUAAUACACAAAUAAAAAUAAUAAAAUUCAGUAGAGAUAUAACUUUCCAAUCAUAUAUAGGAUUUGUCUUUCAAGCAAAGAAGCAGUCUAUCUAGUAGCAUGUUAGUCUAGUAGACUCUCCUAGGGUUUUCAAAUAUCAGACACUGACUUUUCUUUUUUUUUCAGACAUUGACUUCUGAAUGAUUGGGUUGUAAAUGUUUGUUUUCAUUACUGGUGUUCAAACAGAAGAGUGAGAGUCUUCAGGCUGGCAUUAUAUCAACCCACCUGCUUCUGGAAGAGAAAAAAAAUCAGAUCAUUCACCCUGCAGAUUGCUUGUGAUUAUGUGAAAGGAAGCCUGAAGACACAUUCUGUGUUGUUGGACAGCUUCUCAGCACAGCCCCUGAAGAGAAAACAAAUGUCCUGAUAGAGGUGAAGGGAGACCCUGAAAGCAAAAGGUAAUUUAGGUGUGCCUCUAUUCAAUUCCACUUCUCAAACAUUUCAUUCUCAUUUGAACUCCUAAUAUAAAAAUAUAUUUAUUCCUACUUAAGUAAUAGAAAGUGACAAAAGUCAAGUUUCAAUGGAGGUGAGAUUUAAAUAAUUCAUUUUUCAAGAGUCACAGAAGAUUAUAAGUUCUGGACUCUUGUGAGACCUGAGAACAGGAUAUUUGAAGAACAAUAAGAAUAGAAUUCACCCUAAAAACUAUAAAUUCUGAAAUACCUUUGUAUUAAAAGAGAGUUGUUCGUGAUAAACAUCAAUUGGGAAGGUUGAGCAAAGUCAGAGUUCAGACAAACAUCUUC